UGGCGGUGCAAGGGAGUUGAACCAGAAAUUAUGUAGUCAAGCGAAGCUUCAGAAAUACUUCUACAACUCUAAUUCCUUGUGGAAUAUCUGAAAAAUCUUAUACUGCAUCACCGUGUCACAAGAACAGAACAAAACCAGAAACAUUUCACCAGAACAAUAUAUGACCGUGUGUAUAACUCCAGGCUCUCUUCGAGUACUGGAAGGCCACAGUGAGAUCUCCUUGGAGCCUUCUCUACGCCAAGCUAAACAAGCCUAGUUCCCUCAACCUUUCCUCAUAGGAGAGGUGCUCCAGCCCUCUGAUCAUCUUAGUGGCCCUCCUCUGGACCUGUUCCAAGAGCUCCACGUCCUUCCUGUACUGGGGGCCCCAGGCCUGGACGCAGUACUCCAGAUGGGGCCUCACAAGAGCUGAGUAGAGGGGGACAAUCACCUCCCUCUCCCUGCUGGCCACCCCUUUUUUAAUGCAGACCACAACACAGUUGGCCUUCUGGGCUGCAAGAACGCCUUCUGUCUCAUGUCCAGCUAAUUAUCCAGCAGGACCCCCAAGUCCUUCUCCACAGGGCUGUUCUCAAGGAGAUCAUCC
ensembl:lncRNA